GACGAACGCUGGCGGCGUGCUUAACACAUGCAAGUCGAGCGGUAAGGCCCUUUCGGGGGUACACGAGCGGCGAACGGGUGAGUAACACGUGGGUGACCUGCCCUUAGCUCUGGGAUAAGCCUGGGAAACUGGGUCUAAUACCGGAUAUGACUCCAUGACGCAUGUUGUGGGGUGGAAAGCCUCGUGCGGCUAGGGAUGGGCCCGCGGACCUAUCAGCUUGUUGGUGGGGUGAUGGCCUACCAAGGCGACGACGGGUAGCCGGCCUGAGAGGGCGACCGGCCACACUGGGACUGAGACACGGCCCAGACUCCUACGGGAGGCAGCAGUGGGGAAUCUUGCGCAAUGCACGACAGUGUGACGCAGCAACGCCGCGUGGGGAA
rnacentral:rRNA from 1 species